CCCUUUCAUAUCCAAGGCAGGGAGUGCAGAGAUCAGGAAAACCAGAAAUUGUAGUUUCAGCACUGAAGUAACUCUACAUCUGGGGAAAUGGGCUGGUCUCUUGUCACUCUUGUCUGAUUCUGCUGGGUUUGCUACUCCUGUGGAUAAAGAACAGUGAAAGGACAGGAAAGAGGAAGGCAGCACCUGGUUUCAGAAGAGUUAGUUCUUCCAGUCCUAUCUUGAGAUGGGUAUGAGCUUGCAUGCAUAGUAUUAGUGUUUGCUUUGGAGAGUCAGUCCUGAAAUGAAGAACGUCUUUGGAGCUGCUUUCCUGAUCUCUGUGUGAAUCAGUGGUCACUCCUCAGUAAAGAGGAGGACCUGCUUGCUGCUUUAUCUCCAUGGGACUCCUCAGGCCUGAUGGAUGGAUGUGGAACAUCUUUGUGAAGCUUUGAAAAAUCAUUAAGAAGCAGAGCAUUUUCCUCCUCUACCUGCUGAUCACUUCUGAAGCAAGAUGGAAGAUCUGAUGGACCAAAACUCCUUUUAGGACGUUCUGCAUUCCUGGACAUGAAAAUAUUUCUUCAUAAGAGCGUGAAAAGCAAGGUCUCUACCCCAAGAAGAAGCAAUUUAUUACAAAUACAGAUGAUAAGAACAAAAAGAUCAAGUGAAGAGAUGGUGGCAGAUAGUGCUGGGGGGCACACUGUGUGGAGUCUAAGUGGAAGGAAGACAUCUGAAGUGAGUUUUGAAAGCAAAGAAGGAAUUAUCUUAAUGAAGGAGUGGGUGAUCCAAGUGCAAAGUGUUGCUUGUGAGCAUGGAGGACUCAAGGAGAGGAGGAAAGACUGAGAGAGCAGUAGGCAAGCAUUAGGUAAGGGCUGUGCCUCAUGCCUGUUAAAAAUGGUUUGCUUGUGUAAUUGACAUCAAUAAAAAGCAUGUGAUGGAAAAAA